rnacentral:rRNA from 1 species
CAGUCGCCACGGUAAUACGGAGGGUGCAAGCGUUAAUCGGAAUUACUGGGCGUAAAGCGCACGCAGGCGGUUAUUCAAGUCAGAGGUGAAAGCCCGGGGCUCAACCCCGGAACUGCCUUUGAAACUAGAUGACUGGAAUCUUGGAGAGGUCAGUGGAAUUCCGAGUGUAGAGGUGAAAUUCGUAGAUAUUCGGAAGAACACCAGUGGCGAAGGCGACUGACUGGACAAGUAUUGACGCUGAGGUGCGAAAGCGUGGGGAGCAAACAGGAUUAGAUACCCCCGUAGUCCCUGUCUCUUAUAA